AAAAAAUUUUAAUUUUUAAUUUGUUUUUGGAUUUUUUUGUUCCCAUAUAUAGAAUAAACACUUCUCUAUAUUUUUCAUCUUAUCAUUACCUACCACACUCCAUCUAACUAUUCACUCAAUUUCUAUCAAGAUUUUGUUAAAAUUUUUUUUCAAAAUUCAUAAUUAGAGCACUAUGGAUAUAGGUGUCAAAGUGGGCCUUGCCGGCACGGCAGACACGGGCAUGGCCACGAAAAAACUCGACACGGGCACGAUUUUGGCAUGGUAUAAGUUAGGCCGGGCACGCCAUCGGACGGUAUGGGCGGGCAAGGGUACGAAAUGGUGGGAGCACGGCACGGGGCCACGGUACGAUAGUUGGACUUAACAUAGCACGGCACGAUCAAAGCUCGGCACGGCACAGGCCAACGACACCACUAGUGGGCUGGUUUGGCACGGCACAGACUUAGUCAAGCACGGCCCUAUGGGCAGGAAAAGAAUGGUGUGAAGGCACGACGACACGGACAGAGAGUGGCAAGGAAUAAGGAAUUGAUUAAUUAUUAAAUAAAUAAAAUAAAUUUUAUUAAAUUAAAUUAAUUUUCAUAAUAAAAAAAAUUAUUAAAAGAAAAAAAGUAAACUAAAUAAAUUUUGACUCUUGUUCUCAUGGGUUAUGGCCAUAUAAAUAAAUAAAUAAUAAAAAAUAUAUUUUUAUUAAAUUAAAUUGACUUUCAAUGCCAUAAUAAAAAAAAAUUGAAAAAUUUUUUAAAAUAAAAUUAUGAAUAACAAAAAUAAAAAAAAAUUGACAAAAACAUUAAAAAUUAAAUUUGAACAACAAAAAGUAGAAAUUUUAAAAUUUGACUUAUGCCGUCAAACAAUACACGUUUCUUUCAUAUUUAUGACAAUUCACACCGUUCAUUUUGUUAUAGUGAUAUUUUAAUCACUCUGCCGAAUUUGAAGUCUAUUGGAUAUUGGAAAACUCUUUCAUUCGGGACAGUAAUUUAUUUAUUAUAUCAACCAAUAAUUUUUCUCAUUCGCUCCAGUACGUGCCGAUAAUUAAACUAUUUUAUGGUUUGCAUUGACGAUAUAAUCACUUCUACUUAUAAUUCUAACCGUUCCUAUUCAAAAAAAACUAUUGUGAUGCCAUCAAGUCAUGCAUUAUUAGACAUGAGCUCAUAGAUGGCACCGCAUGUGACCUGAUCAGGUGGUUGAAGACAUUUUGAUCCCACCGUUUUGAAACAAAUUAUAGAAUUGAUAAGAUAUAAAUCGUACUAUUUAAAUCAACAUUCAGGAAAUCGAGUCUGGCACGUGUCUUUCAAUCCUAUACAGCAAAUUACUUGGUUCUGACUAACUUAUUGUGUUUUAGGAUAAUGUACUCUCUCGCCAAAUUUCAAAUUUUCUAUCGGGUAUGAAAAUCCUUUAUCGAAAAGUAGAUUCACUAAAAAUUAAAAAUUAACAUAGAUACACCUUCAACUAUCACUUUAUCACUUCAUUGAUUUUUAGCUUCAAUUAUAGCUUCAAAAUCACACCAAAAAGAAGAUACUAAGCUGUCCGUUUGGUAAUGCUUACAAACAAGCUUUUUUUAAGCUUGCUACUAACAAGGCCAGAAUUUUUGAUUUUUUUGCUUUUGUGGCUUACUUUAGCUAAACUAAGUAAAAAGUCAAAAUCAAAAAAGCAAAAAAGCCACUCUGAUGAUUUUUUUGCUUAUUUUAAGCCAAAGCCAGAACAACAAGCUGGUGCCAACGGAGCCUAAAUCCCUUUCAAUUAGUUUUUUUGUGGCAACGGCUGCUAACCCAUAAGCCUUACCCACUGCUUACAUUUCCCAAAUUAUAAUUUUCCAUGAAAAAGUCCGUUUUUGUAUUAACAUAUUUAUAAAUUUGAGGCAUUUCUUAUGUGUUAUUGUUUGCACAAACUACUGUAAUUGGGCUUUUAAUUAAAAAACAUACACGACACACUUAAUACGGGUAGGGCACGACACGAUUAAGUGAUGGCAUGACCCGACACGCGUCACACAACUAAGUAGCGGGCCGACACGGCAUUGCAUCGAUUAGUAAGGCUGGCCGGCACGGCACGGCACGACACGACACUAUUUAAGUAAGCGGGCUGGCACGGCAUGACUGAUUAAGUAGACGGGCACUACACGGCACACAUGAGUCAUACGACUAAGUUAGCGUGCCGGCGCAGUACGGCACGUUAAGUAAGCGGCCUGCACGGCACAACACGAAUAAGAAACAAUAGCAUGACACGACAACGAUUAAAAAAAGGCACGGCAACGAUUAAAAAAGGCCGACACGACACGAUGAAAUAAUGGGCCGGCGCGGCCCGCACGAAGACGACUGGCACGGAAGACGUGGCACGCACUGCACGGCACGGUGGGCACGUUGACACCUCUACUUAUGGAUGACUCAAUUUCAAAUCAGUUGGACUGCUGAAGUUAUAUUCCAAGUGUAGAAACAUCUCUCAUAUAAAUCGUGACUAAUACACUGAAUUUACUACGAUCAGACAGCAUUUUUUAUUUUUUAGUUUUUGU
rnacentral:lncRNA from 1 species